CCCUGCUUUACAUAAUGAUAGACCUGUCCAGUUAUACAGUAACUGUUGUAAAAUUUGAAUUCUAAGAUAUCUGGGUCAGCAAAGAGAGCAGAGGAUGUACUUGAUAUUUCAGCAGUUUUGGAGAUAUUGUUUUGUUUAACAUUUAAAGUGUUUAUUAAGUAUUGGUAUGAUAACAAUCAGAAUCACCUGGGACAAGGAGAUAUACAACAGAAUCAGGCUGGGACAUAAGUGCUGACUGUGAGAAAUAGCGGCAGUGUUUAAUAAUGAUGUGCAGUAUUAAUCCUGAAAAGGUCAGCACAACCAUAAGAAGUUCUAGGAAACACUGGCAGAGGACUAAAAAUGGACACCGAUAAAAGAAAUAGUAAUUUAAAUAAUCAGAAACAUUUAAAACAAAUUUAAGAUUGAAUAGUUUGUCACUGACAGACUAAGAGCAAAAUAAUUGCUUAAAACAAAGUGUUGGAUU